UUAGGGGACAGAAGUGGAAGAAUUUGGUUUUGAAACUCUAGUUAUUUUUGUUCCAGUUGCCCUGGGGGUCAAAAAGCUCCAAGGAAAUGCCCACUUGGAACAGCCAAUGAACUUACAGCUCAAGUGGACAUCACAGCCUGCCAGGUCUGUCCCAAAGGCUAUCUCAGCCUAGAGAAUGGAGCGGGAUGUCGUGCGUGCCCAGAUGGCUAUUCAUGUGAUCCACGUAGCGGUGUGCAGAGGAGCUGCAGCCCUGGCCAGUAUUCUCCAGAGGGAGAGUCAGAGUGUCUGGAAUGCCCGGAGAACUAUGCCUGCCCAGAUGGACGGAGUAGGCAGCACUGUUUGGCCGGGCAGGAGCCAAAUCCAAGCCACACUCAUUGUGUUACCUACACCCCUGGUUCUUUCUCAGCUGAAGACACGCUGAUACGCCAGCCUUGUCCAGCAGGUGAGUGCAUCUCAUGAGCAUCUUCUUUAGUCGUUAAGACAGAAAUUGAAGGGGACUACCUGUUAUCAGCAAGAGUUUUC
rnacentral:lncRNA from 1 species